CAAUAGCGUAUAUUAAAGUUGUUGCGGUUAAAAAGCUCGUAGUUGGAGUUCUGCCAGGUGCCGCCUGUCCGCCCCAGUGGUGAGUACGUGGCGCGCAUUUGGCCCUUUCAAGGGGAGCGUAUCUGCACUUUAUUGUGUGGUGCGGGAUCCUUGACUUUUACUUUGAGGAAAUAGGAGUGUUCCAAGCAGGCUCUCGUCGUGCACAGCUCAGCAUGGAAUAAUAGCAUUGGACCUCGAUUCUAAGCUGUUGGUUGCCAGAAGCGAGGUAAUGAUGAAGAGGGAUAGUUGGGGGCAUUCGUAUUUAACUGUCAGAGGUGAAAUUCUUGGAUUUGUUAAAGACGGACUGCUGCGAAAGCAUUUGCCAAGGAUGUUUUCAUUGA
rnacentral:rRNA from 1 species